rnacentral:rRNA from 1 species
AUGCUUAUUGAUAAUGCAAUUGAGUUUGUAAAGGGCUUGAUUUCCUUCUUCACUAUGUAUAGAUAAACUAGCUUUUCAAAAGCAUUGGAGGUGCAAAAAAAGCAAUGGAGAUGGAUAUUAAUCCAGAGUUCCGCAAGCAUAAAAUUAAGAGAAAAACAAUAUGAUGAGGGCGCAGAUGAUCCAUCUAUUGUUUCACAAUUAGCAGAGGAGUCAUUUAGGGUCAAUUAUUUUUUGCAUAUCGUUGAUCAAGCUAUAGUUUCACUUAACACGAGAUUUGAAUAGUAUGAGGGGUAUGAAAAAAUAUUUGGUUUCUUGUUUACUAGCUGGCUGCGAUCCUUGGAUGACAAGAGUUUGUUGGUUGCCUGUGUUAAUCUUGAAGAUGCACUUAAGAAUGGAGAACAUAAAGAUAUUGAUGGACUUGAAUUGUCUUGCGAGCUACUUUUUCUCUAGGACUCACUUAGAAAUCUAUGGGCCCACAUGAUAUUCUGA